UACGUAGGGUGCGAGCGUUAAUCGGAAUUACUGGGCGUAAAGGGUGCGCAGGCGGCGUCGCAAGUCAGGCGUGAAAUCCCCGGGCUUAACCUGGGAACUGCACUUGAAACUACGAUGCUGGAGUAUGGCAGAGGGAGGUGGAAUUCCACGUGUAGCGGCGAAAUGCGUAGAGAUGUGGAGGAACACCGAUGGCGAAGGCAGCCUCCUGGGCCAAUACUGACGCUCAUGCACGAAAGCGUGGGGAGCAAACAGG
rnacentral:rRNA from 1 species